AGCUCACCUAUGAUAUAAAGGGAAGGAGAAAAAUAAACGAGUGCUCUCAGUCUCCCUGGGAGCCCUCCCGACUCUAUUUCUGUGUUUUUCUUUUUCUUCAUCCUCACUCCCCCAUUCAGGUGCUGUUCGACAAGUGACGGUGGGCUCCAUCAAUCUUCAGCCUUAAACAUGGUUUAUUGUAGGUGUAACUUUCAAUCCUGAUGUGUCACCUUCUUGGCUUAAGAAAUGCCUAGCAGAUUAGGAAAGCACGCUCCAGGGUAAGCCUAGGCCCUCUGCCUGCAUGGUAUACUUGGCCUCCACCAGCUCCAGCUGCUUCUUCAUGAGGAGCCAAGAAGAGUCAGCAACCCACACUCCCG
rnacentral:lncRNA from 1 species